GGGUUGUGAGGUUAAGCGACUAAGCGUACACGGUGGAUGCCCUGGCAGUCAGAGGCGAUGAAGGACGUGCUAAUCUGCGAUAAGCGUCGGUAAGGUGAUAUGAACCGUUAUAACCGGCGAUUUCCGAAUGGGGAAACCCAGUGUGAUUCGUCACACUAUCAUUAACUGAAUCCAUAGGUUAAUGAGGCGAACCGGGGGAACUGAAACAUCUAAGUACCCCGAGGAAAAGAAAUCAACCGAGAUUCCCCCAGUAGCGGCGAGCGAACGGGGAGCAGCCCAGAGCCUGAAUCAGUGUGUGUGUUAGUGGAAGCGUCUGGAAAGGCGCGCGAUACAGGGUGACAGCCCCGUACACAAAAAUGCACAUGCUGUGAGCUCGAUGAGUAGGGCGGGACACGUGGUAUCCUGUCUGAAUAUGGGGGGACCAUCCUCCAAGGCUAAAUACUCCUGACUGACCGAUAGUGAACCAGUACCGUGAGGGAAAGGCGAAAAGAACCCCGGCGAGGGGAGUGAAAAAGAACCUGAAACCGUGUACGUACAAGCAGUGGGAGCACGCUUAGGCGUGUGACUGCGUACCUUUUGUAUAAUGGGUCAGCGACUUAUAUUCUGUAGCAAGGUUAACCGAAUAGGGGAGCCGAAGGGAAACCGAGUCUUAACUGGGCGUUAAGUUGCAGGGUAUAGACCCGAAACCCGGUGAUCUAGCCAUGGGCAGGUUGAAGGUUGGGUAACACUAACUGGAGGACCGAACCGACUAAUGUUGAAAAAUUAGCGGAUGACUUGUGGCUGGGGGUGAAAGGCCAAUCAAACCGGGAGAUAGCUGGUUCUCCCCGAAAGCUAUUUAGGUAGCGCCUCGUGAAUUCAUCUCCGGGGGUAGAGCACUGUUUCGGCAAGGGGGUCAUCCCGACUUACCAACCCGAUGCAAACUACGAAUACCGGAGAAUGUUAUCACGGGAGACACACGGCGGGUGCUAACGUCCGUCGUGAAGAGGGAAACAACCCAGACCGCCAGCUAAGGUCCCAAAGUCAUGGUUAAGUGGGAAACGAUGUGGGAAGGCCCAGACAGCCAGGAUGUUGGCUUAGAAGCAGCCAUCAUUUAAAGAAAGCGUAAUAGCUCACUGGUCGAGUCGGCCUGCGCGGAAGAUGUAACGGGGCUAAACCAUGCACCGAAGCUGCGGCAGCGACGCUGAUGCGUUGUUGGGUAGGGGAGCGUUCUGUAAGCCUGCGAAGGUGUGCUGUGAGGCAUGCUGGAGGUAUCAGAAGUGCGAAUGCUGACAUAAGUAACGAUAAAGCGGGUGAAAAGCCCGCUCGCCGGAAGACCAAGGGUUCCUGUCCAACGUUAAUCGGGGCAGGGUGAGUCGACCCCUAAGGCGAGGCCGAAAGGCGUAGUCGAUGGGAAACAGGUUAAUAUUCCUGUACUUGGUGUUACUGCGAAGGGGGACGGAGAAGGCUAUGUUGGCCGGGCGACGGUUGUCCCGGUUUAAGCGUGUAGGCUGGUUUUCCAGGCAAAUCCGGAAAAUCAAGGCUGAGGCGUGAUGACGAGGCACUACGGUGCUGAAGCAACAAAUGCCCUGCUUCCAGGAAAAGCCUCUAAGCAUCAGGUAACAUCAAAUCGUACCCCAAACCGACACAGGUGGUCAGGUAGAGAAUACCAAGGCGCUUGAGAGAACUCGGGUGAAGGAACUAGGCAAAAUGGUGCCGUAACUUCGGGAGAAGGCACGCUGAUAUGUAGGUGAAGUCCCUCGCGGAUGGAGCUGAAAUCAGUCGAAGAUACCAGCUGGCUGCAACUGUUUAUUAAAAACACAGCACUGUGCAAACACGAAAGUGGACGUAUACGGUGUGACGCCUGCCCGGUGCCGGAAGGUUAAUUGAUGGGGUUAGCGCAAGCGAAGCUCUUGAUCGAAGCCCCGGUAAACGGCGGCCGUAACUAUAACGGUCCUAAGGUAGCGAAAUUCCUUGUCGGGUAAGUUCCGACCUGCACGAAUGGCGUAAUGAUGGCCAGGCUGUCUCCACCCGAGACUCAGUGAAAUUGAACUCGCUGUGAAGAUGCAGUGUACCCGCGGCAAGACGGAAAGACCCCGUGAACCUUUACUAUAGCUUGACACUGAACAUUGAGCCUUGAUGUGUAGGAUAGGUGGGAGGCUUUGAAGUGUGGACGCCAGUCUGCAUGGAGCCGACCUUGAAAUACCACCCUUUAAUGUUUGAUGUUCUAACGUGGACCCGUAAUCCGGGUUGCGGACAGUGUCUGGUGGGUAGUUUGACUGGGGCGGUCUCCUCCUAAAGAGUAACGGAGGAGCACGAAGGUUGGCUAAUCCUGGUCGGACAUCAGGAGGUUAGUGCAAUGGCAUAAGCCAGCUUGACUGCGAGCGUGACGGCGCGAGCAGGUGCGAAAGCAGGUCAUAGUGAUCCGGUGGUUCUGAAUGGAAGGGCCAUCGCUCAACGGAUAAAAGGUACUCCGGGGAUAACAGGCUGAUACCGCCCAAGAGUUCAUAUCGACGGCGGUGUUUGGCACCUCGAUGUCGGCUCAUCACAUCCUGGGGCUGAAGUAGGUCCCAAGGGUAUGGCUGUUCGCCAUUUAAAGUGGUACGCGAGCUGGGUUUAGAACGUCGUGAGACAGUUCGGUCCCUAUCUGCCGUGGGCGCUGGAGAAUUGAGGGGGGCUGCUCCUAGUACGAGAGGACCGGAGUGGACGCAUCACUGGUGUUCGGGUUGUCAUGCCAAUGGCACUGCCCGGUAGCUAAAUGCGGAAGAGAUAAGUGCUGAAAGCAUCUAAGCACGAAACUUGCCCCGAGAUGAGUUCUCCCUGACUCCUUGAGAGUCCUGAAGGAACGUUGAAGACGACGACGUUGAUAGGCCGGGUGUGUAAGCGCAGCGAUGCGUUGAGCUAACCGGUACUAAUGAACCGUGAGGCUUAACCUUACAACGCCGAAG
rnacentral:rRNA from 1 species